rnacentral:miRNA from 1 species
UGCACAAACUGUGGAGUAGUCGGC